GUGCUAUCUUCAGCAGCACCUAUACUAAAACUGGAAUAAUACAGAGAUUAGCAUGGCCUUUGUGCAAGGAUGACAUUCAGAUUUGUGAAGCAUUAUCUACUUUU
ensembl:snRNA U6 U6 spliceosomal RNA